rnacentral:rRNA from 1 species
AGUGAACGCUGGCGGCAGGCCUAACACAUGCAAGUCGAGCGGCAGCGCGUCCGACCACCCUCGGAUGGUCGGAUGGCGGCGAGCGGCGGACGGGUGAGGAAUGCAUCGGAAUCUGCCUCGUUGUGGGGGAUAACGUAGGGAAACUUACGCUAAUACCGCAUACGACCUACGGGUGAAAGUGGGGGACCUUCGGGCCUCACGCGAUGAGAUGAGCCGAUGCCGGAUUAGCUAGUUGGCGGGGUAAAGGCCCACCAAGGCGACGAUCCGUAGCUGGUCUGAGAGGAUGAUCAGCCACACUGGAACUGAGACACGGUCCAGACUCCUACGGGAGGCAGCAGUGGGGAAUAUUGGACAAUGGGGGCAACCCUGAUCCAGCCAUGCCGCGUGUGUGAAGAAGGC